GCCGGUUCCCGUUAGAUCACCGAAGUCAAGCAUCAUUGGGCGAGGUCAGUACUUGGGUGGUUGACCACCUGGGAACACC